rnacentral:rRNA from 1 species
AUACGGAGGGUGCAAGCGUUAAUCGGAAUUACUGGGCGUAAAGCGCGCGUAGGCGGUUUGGUAAGUCGGAUGUGAAAGCCCCGGGCUCAACCUGGGAAUUGCAUUCGAUACUGCCGAACUAGAGUAUGGUAGAGGGAAGUGGAAUUUCCGGUGUAGCGGUGAAAUGCGUAGAUAUCGGGAAGAACACCAGUGGCGAAGGCGGCUUGCUGGGCCGUUGCUGACGCUGAGGUGCGAAAGCGUGGGGAGCAAACCGGAUUAGAAACCCCAGUAGUCC